rnacentral:rRNA from 1 species
UGGCUCAGAUUGAACGCUGGCGGCAUGCCUUACACAUGCAAGUCGAACGGUAACAGGUCUUUCGGGAUGCUGACGAGUGGCGAACGGGUGAGUAAUACAUCGGAACGUGCCUAGUAGUGGGGGAUAACUACUCGAAAGAGUGGCUAAUACCGCAUGAGAUCUAUGGAUGAAAGCAGGGGACCUUCGGGCCUUGUGCUACUAGAGCGGCCGAUGGCAGAUUAGGUAGUUGGUGGGAUAAAAGCUUACCAAGCCUACGAUCUGUAGCUGGUCUGAGAGGACGAUCAGCCACACUGGGACUGAGACACGGCCCAGACUCCUACGGGAGGCAGCAGUGGGGAAUUUUGGACAAUGGGGGAAACCCUGAUCCAGCAAUGCCGCGUGCAGGAUGAAGGCCUUCGGGUUGUAAACUGCUUUUGUACGGAACGAAAAGUCUUGGGUUAAUAC